UUGAUCCUGAAUCUCCACAUUAUUGAACCAAGAUAUCUUGUCCCAAACUGCAGCUUAAACAUUUGGUUCACUGAAACAGAUACUCAACAAAUACAAAGCACCCAAAAAGCUUACAAAACAUGCAUAAUGUGAUUUGCUUUGCUUCCAUUCUAUUUGGUCAACGAUGGUGAAUCUGGCUUCCUUUGCUCUGGUUUAAGAAACGGAUCAUUCUCAAUGAAAAGUAAGUUGGCGGCGACCACCGUAGCGACGAUUCCACCCAAGAUUGCCGCUGGGCCCGUUAGGAGACUCCAUUUUCGGUAUAUCAUCUUCUCCCGCUGCUGAUCUGUGCUUUUGCUCCCAAUGCCAAAAGGACAAAACACUGCAAUCUGCAAUUACACCUUUCGUUGAUUCUUUCCAUCUUUCUUUCUUUCCCUCUUUCUUCCUUCCAUGGAUCCGGCUGCGUCCACCUGUUACGAAAUCCAUGUUUUUUGGAUUUGAGCCUGCUGUCACCCGAAGCCCACAAAAUGGCCUUUUGUAAGUAUCUAUGCAGGCCCAAUUCAGGCCGAAGAAUAACAAACAAGAAGCCUACCAGGAAUUUCGAUCCAUUUGGCUAAAAUCUAAAUAUU
rnacentral:misc_RNA from 1 species